UGUGAGAUAAAUGCACUCAGAGACUCCUCACAAGUAGCUCUUUGGCGCUUCAGAUGUGAAAUGGAUCAUUCCUCAAUCUGUAAUAGACCCUUCUGUGAAGCUCUUCAAUCAAACCUGAGAAUUCAAGGCGUUUUGUAGCAUCCUAAACAGAAGGAUAUUGAAGGGAGCUGAUUCUGCUUUGAUCCUUGUGCUUGUUGUCAAAGCGCUUGGGAUUGAAGAGACUGUUGGCUACAAUUGACUGUGACAAUUAGGAGAUGAUCAGAGCCCUAGAGUGGAGCACUUAAAGGGUUUGCAUUUAAAACACUCGGAGCACUAAUUGUAUAAAAUUCUGGUAGCUGCACAUUCUCUUUUUGGAGAGGUAAUGAGUGAAUGAAUGAAAAGGCAGGGAUCAUUUGCCAUUCUAAGAGCGGGGAUUGUCAGAAUAUUUCUACUUGACUGAAAUUGCUUUGGAAGGUGAGCUGGAACGAGAAUCUUGCAACUAAAAUGAAGUGACUCUGCAUGUGGUUUUGGGCUGUUUGUCUUUGUCGAGGAAUUCUGCGGAACUGUUCCGGGACUUAGAA